ACGGAGGAUCCAAGCGUUAUCCGGAUUUAUUGGGUUUAAAGGGUGCGUAGGCGGACCUGUAAGUCAGUGGUGAAAUCCUGCAGCUUAACUGUAGAACUGCCAUUGAUACUGUUGGUCUUGAGUACAGUUGAGGUAGGCGGAAUGAGUAGUGUAGCGGUUGCAUUCUUAGAUAUUACGCAGAAGACCGAUGGCGAAGGCAGCUUACUAAACUGUAACUGACACUGAUGCACGAGAGCGUGGGGAGGGAACAG
rnacentral:rRNA from 1 species